UUAGGCGCUCUUAGGUUUGGGGAGAGAGAGGAAGUGGCGGGGCUGGGGGACGGGAAGGGAAGGAGGGUAAGAACUGAGAGAGAGAAAGAGCGGGUGUUUGCUUUUAAGGCAACUGAGGGAAAGGCGAGGGGAGGAGAAGGUGGAGGAGGAAGAAAAGCAGGAGGAAUACAAGGAAGGGGAACCCAGCAGCGAGAGCAGCUUAGACAAGACGUGACCUAGAUUGGCGUGAAACUAACUUGGCAUCUUCCAACCUUGUGGAAUCUCAUAGUUGUGCUACAAUCCUAAGCAUGUCCAUUCAGAAUAAGUUCUAUUGAAUCUCCAAGACAGCAGGUUUUCUAAAAGGGAACUGAAGAAACAACAUUUACUCCCAUUAUGUUGGAUAAGAAAAGGGCAUCGGAUGUUAAUUAGCCAAAGACCUGGGAGAAGAGGUACGUUUACGCCUGGUGCCUGAAGGUGAAUAAUGAAGGCGCCAGGUGAGCCUCCCUGGGGAGAGCAUUCCACAAAGGGGAGCCACUGCAGAAAAGGCCUGUUCUCGUGUUGCCACCUUCUGGACCUCUCAUGGAGGAGUAGAAAAGCCUGUGAAUUCAAACUUCCCAGUUAUAUCCUUUCUAGGUAAAGGGACCCCUGACCAUUAGGUCCAGUCGUGACCGACUCUGGGGUUGCGGCGCUCAU